rnacentral:rRNA from 1 species
AAAGCGUGCGCAGGCGGUUAUACAAGACAGGCGUGAAAUCCCCGGGCUUAACCUGGGAAUGGCGCCUGUGACUGUAUAGCUAGAGUGUGUCAGAGGGGGGUAGAAUUCCACGUGUAGCAGUGAAAUGCGUAGAUAUGCGGAGGAACACCGAUGGCGAAGGCAGCCCCCUGGGAUAAUACUGACGCUCAUGCACGAAAGCGUGGGGAGCAAACAGGAUUAGAUACCCUUGU